rnacentral:tRNA from 1 species
UCCAGCGUAGCUCAGCGGUAGAGCGGUCGACUGUUAAUCGAUUGGUCGUAGGUUCAAAUCCUACCGCUGGAGCCA